rnacentral:rRNA from 1 species
CCUACGGGUGGCAGUGGGGAAUCUUGCGCAAUGGGCGAAAGCCUGACGCAGCGACGCCGCGUGAGUGAUGAAGGCCUUCGGGUUGUAAAGCUCUGUGGGGAGAGACGAAUAAGUGCGGGCUAAUACUCCGCAUGAUGACGGUAUCUCCUUAGCAAGCACCGGCUAACUCUGUGCCAGCAGCCGCGGUAAGACAGAGGGUGCAAACGUUGUUCGGGAUUAGUGGGCGUAAAGCGUGUGGUGACUGCGAUGUGAAAGCCCUGGGCUCAACCCAGGAAGUGCACUCGAUACUGCAUGGCUUGAGUACCGGAGAGGUUGGUGGAAUUCUCGGUGUAGAGGUGAAAUUCGUAGAUAUCGAGAGGAACACCGGUGGCGAAGGCGGCCAACUGGACGGAUACUGACGCUGAGACACGAAAGCGUGGGGAGCAAACAGGAUUAGAUACCCUGGUAGUC